rnacentral:rRNA from 1 species
UACAGAGGGGGCAAGCGUUGUUCGGAAUUACUGGGCGUAAAGGGCGCGUAGGCGGCCUUCUAAGUCGAACGUGAAAUCCCCGGGCUCAACCCGGGAACUGCGUCCGAUACUGGAAGGCUUGAAUCCGGGAGAGGGAUGCGGAAUUCCAGGUGUAGCGGUGAAAUGCGUAGAUAUCUGGAGGAACACCGGUGGCGAAGGCGACAUCCUGGACCGGUAUUGACGCUGAGACGCGAAAGCGUGGGGAGCAAACAGG